UAAAAUUCUAAAUUAAACUAUCCUCUG
rnacentral:tRNA from 1 species